UACGUAGGUGGCAAGCGUUGUCCGGAAUUAUUGGGCGUAAAGCGCGCGCAGGCGGUCCUUUAAGUCUGAUGUGAAAGCCCACGGCUCAACCGUGGAGGGUCAUUGGAAACUGGGGGACUUGAGUACAGAAGAGAAGAGUGGGAUUCCACGUGUAGCGGUGAAAUGCGUAGAGAUGUGGAGGAACACCAGUGGGCGAAGGCGCUCUUUGGUCUGUAACUGACGUGAGGCGCGAAAGCUGGGGGAGCAA
rnacentral:rRNA from 1 species